AACGAACGCUGGCGGCGUGCAUGAGACAUGCAAGUCGUACGGACGGCCGGGGCUUGCUCCGGCCGUUAGUGGCGGACGGCUGAGUAACGCGUAGGUGACCUGCCCCGAAGUGGGGGAUAACUGCCCGAAAGGGUGGCUAAUACCGCAUGUGGUGGCACGUUCGGUCGUGUCAUCAAAGCCGCAAGGCGCUUCGGGAGGGGCCUGCGUCCGAUUAGCUCGUUGGUGGGGUAACGGCUCACCAAGGCGAUGAUCGGUAGGUGGUCUGAGAGGACGAUCA
rnacentral:rRNA from 1 species